rnacentral:rRNA from 1 species
GAAAAGAAACCAACAGGGAUUGCCCUAGUAACGGCGAGUGAAGCGGCAACAGCUCAAAUUUGAAAUCUGGCCUCACGGUCCGAGUUGUGAUUUGUAGAGGAUGAUUCUGGCGACGUGCCUUCCGAGUUCCCUGGAACGGGACGCCAUAGAGGGUGAGAGCCCCGUCCGGUCGUGCACCUAGCCUCUGUGAAUCUCCUUCGACGAGUCGAGUAGUUUGGGAAUGCUGCUCUAAAUGGGAGGUAUACGUCUUCUAAAGCUAAAUACCGGCCAGAGACCGAUAGCGCACAAGUAGAGUGAUCGAAAGAUGAAAAGCACUUUGAAAAGAGGGUUAAAUAGUACGUGAAAUUGCUGAAAGGGAAGCGCUUAUGACCAGACUUGGGUUCGGUGAAUCAUCCGGCGUUCUCGCCGGUGCACUUUGCCGUCCCAGGCCAGCAUCAGUUCGCGCCGGGGGAUAAAGGUUUCGGGAACGUGGCUCCCUCGGGAGUGUUAUAGCCCGUUGCGUAAUACCCUGGCGUGGACUGAGGUCCGCGCUCUGCAAGGAUGCUGGCGUAAUGGUCAUCAGUGACCCGUCUU